rnacentral:lncRNA from 1 species
CUCCUGGAUAAAACCAUGAAAAGAGAAGCUAGGGAGAAGACAGUGAUAUAGUUAUUUGGAUUUCUGCAUUUCAUAAUGAUACGUGCUUGAUUAAUUUUAAUUUAGGAUGGAUAUCUGAUGAGGAUCUGAAUACUUUCUCUUAGACGUCAGAGACUGGGAAGAAAGGUGGGGUACAAUAUCUGCAACUUGUAGAGAAAUGAAUGUCAGUAACCACCAGAAUUAUUUUUCUUUCUGUAGAAGAUGACUGGCAAGAAACUGUUGCUGUGCAGCUUGCAUGAGACACUGGUGUUAUUUUUACAGCAAGGAGCACGUUAUGCUCUAGGGCAGAUGAAAAGAAGAAGCCGUGAAAGUUAAAAGGUGUUAGUAAUGCUAAGUUUCCCUUGCCAGAUUGAGGUUAAGAAUGGUGAGCAUUAAUUGUGCUGCAUUAUUGAAGAGCUGCUCCUCUGCUACGAAGAG